UCCAUCUCAAAAAAAAAAAAAAAAAAAAGAAAGAAAGAAACCAACAGGAAAAAAUGGACUAGUAACUUUAAUAAGGAUUUUGUUUAAAAAGCUUGAAUGGCCAAAAAAAUCUGAAAAGAUAUUUAAUCCCAUUAGGAACUAGGGAAAAUCCAGUUAAAACACAAGAUACUAUAACAUACCCACCAGAUUGGCAAAAAUGUAUAAACUUGACAUUACCAAAUGCUGAAGAGGAUGUAAGGUAACUUGCAUGGUGCUACAGGAGUGAAAAAUGGCAAAGCAACUUUGGAAAAUAAUUUGAUGUUUCUUUAUAAUGUUUACAUGUGCAUUUCUUUCCAUCUAGGAGACACACUUUCACACGCGCCCCAGAAUAAUGUGCAAGAAUGUUCACAGCAGUAUUAUGUCCAUCAACAACAGAAUGGACACAGAACUUGGUACUCCACAGUGUGAAGGUACCACAGCAGCAAUGAAGGGCAGCCACUGCAGUUACACGCCAUCAGCAUGGACUCAUCUGUCAACCCCCAACAGAAGGAAGGCACAAGAGAAUAAAUGCAGUACAAUUCCACAUGUAUAAAGUUCAAGGGCAUGCAAAGUGAAACUAUAGGCAGGCACAGGAGGGAAGCAAAUUGAGGAUGAUUAUCACAAAAAUCAGGUUAGUGAUGAGGCAGCCACUGGGAGAAACAGGGAGCCUGUAGGCCCUGAAAAUAUUCUCUUUCUUAACUUGGAUGGCAGGUUGCUCCUGGUUCACUUAAUUAUAAUUCCUUUAAAAAGUGAAUGCAUGUUUCACUUCAGAUUGUGUAAUUUUAAAAACACGGGGCUAAAUUCCUGAUUAAAGAACUAUACAAAUCAAUAAAAGACCAUCAACCCAAUGGAAAAAUGGCCAGAGACAUAUGAAAAGAUGCCUUAGACAUAUAGCAUCUUUUCUCAUCCACUUACUAGGAGAAAUGCUCACUAAAAUUAUCCUGUAAUGCCAUUUAAAAAAAUCUCAGAUUGUUGAAGUACAAAAAGUUAGAUAACAUAUUAUCAACCAAAAUGUGAAAAAAAAAAAAAGAUAAAUUGGCCAGCUGUUUGGUAAACUAGUAAGUGGUAGGUGUUUGUCAGGAAUAAAUCAUAAAGAAAAACAAAACCUCUGAAAUGAAAACUCAUUGUUAGGGUAAAACUUCACCCCUUGUAGUCACUUAUGUUUAACUUGUCUACUUGUUUUUUUAAAGUUAAGAAAACACAAACUGCAUCAUCCAAAAAUACACCUUUGGUCCACGGAUGCCACUGGAAGACAUCUGAAUUUUAGACCUCCAGAGAGAAGAUCUGGGUGGCUAGCUCCAGAGUGGAGGCAUGCUUGCUUUUUCUUUACACUUGUGAAGAGGAAUGGAUCCGGACAUCUGCAAUCUGGGUAGAGGACGGCAGGCAGCAAGCUUAGCCACUCGGCCAGGCUUCUCAGCCCUUACUCUAGACAUGUGAUCCUUCCUCCACGUGAUAUACUUCACAACUUUCUUACGGCUACUCAAGGCAUCCCAAGUUAAAAGGAAGGGUCUCACUCUGUUGCCCAGGCUGGAGUGCAGUAGUACAAUCAUGGCUUAUUGUAGCGUUGACCUCUCAGGAUCAAGUGAUCCUCUUAUGUCAGCCUCCUGGGUAGCCGGGACCACAAGUGCACACACCACCAUACCCAGGUAAUUUUUAUUUUUUUAAUUACUUUUGUAGAGACAGGGUCUCCCUAUGUUGCCCAGGCUGGUUUUAAACUCCUGGGCUCAAGUGAUUCUCAUGCCUUGGCCUCCCAAACUGCUGGGAUUAUAGGUAUGCGCCAUUGUGCCUGGCCCCAUUGUUAUAUUGUUAAUACCCAAUAGUUUAAAGGUUCACAAUGUUGCAAAGGAAAAGCUGUUUACUGCAACAUGUCACCUUAUAUCAGAAGCCAAAUGUCACAGGUUUAUGAAGUCUAAGAAGGAUGGGGCAUUGUCAAAAUACUUCAGCUUACUUAAUUACAAAGUCAAGGGUUCACAAACCCAGCUACAUAUUACAAUUUCCCUGUUGAGUUGCUCUCAAGUGAGAAAAUGAAUGCUGACAGCAGGCAAGCCCAAAGUGCCUCCUCUACUCCUUCAGAACUCAGAGAGCCUCUCUCUGACCACCAGUUCUCCUUCUCCUAUUAUUUUCUGUCAGGACACACUGUUUACUUCAAGAGCACUCAUUCAUUUGCUUACAGGUUUAACACAGAAUGUGCCAGAACAAUCCUGAACGAGAACAAAGUUGAAAGUCUCAUACCUCCCGAUUUCAAAACUUAGUACAAAGCUACAGUAAUCAAAACAGUGUGGUACUGGCAGAAAGACAGACAUAUAGACAAAUAGAAUGGAAUAGAAAGCCCAGAAAUAAACCCUUGCAUAUAUGGGCAAAUGAUUUUCAACAAGGAUGCCAAGAGAACGUUGGGUUUUGGCUAUUCAGCAUCCCGAGACAGGUCUCACGAUAUUGUGCAGGCUGGAGUGCAGUGGCGCAAUCACAGCUCACUGCAGCCUCGAUCUCCCAGGCUCAAGUGAUUCUCCCACUUAAGCCUCCCAAGUAAUUGAGACCACAGGCAUGCACCACCACGCCCGGCUAAGUUUUUAAUUAUUUGCAGAGACAAAGUUUCCUUAUGUUGCCCAGGCUAGUCUUGAACUCCUGCCCUCAAACGAUCCUCCCACUUUGGCCUCUCCCAAAGAUUACAGGCAUGAGCUACUAUGCCAGCCUUUCUUUGGUUUAAAGAUGGAUUUUUCUUUUUUUUUUUUUUUU